UACGUAGGGGGCAAGCGUUGUCCGGAAUGAUUGGGCGUAAAGGGCGCGUAGGCGGCUUUAUAAGUCUGGAGUGAAAGUCCUCUUUUCAAGGGAGGAAUUGCUUUGGAAACUAUAGAGCUUGAGUGCAGGAGAGGUUAUCGGAAUUCCCGGUGUAGCGGUGAAAUGCGUAGAUAUCGGGAGGAACAUCGGUGGCGAAGGCGGGUAACUGGACUGCAACUGACGCUGAGGCGCGAAAGUGUGGGGAGCAAACAGGAUUAGAUACCCGCGUAGUCCCUGAG
rnacentral:rRNA from 1 species